rnacentral:sRNA from 1 species
AAACCCCAUCUAGGCUGAGGGGCCGUAAAGCUUAUAUCUAUGAGUCAGUUAUAAAACCCCUUUCAAUCUGUUAAAAAUAUCUUGUGGUCUGGCAACUACAAUAGUUAAAAGAUUGAAAG